rnacentral:rRNA from 1 species
GGAAUCUUCGGCAAUGGGGGCAACCCUGACCGAGCAACGCCGCGUGAGUGAAGAAGGUUUUCGGAUCGUAAAGCUCUGUUGUUGGUGAAGAAGGAUAGAGGCAGUAACUGGUCUUUAUUUGACGGUAAUCAACCAGAAAGUCACGGCUAACUACGUGCCAG